CACUAAAAGAUACUUUGAGUUCUGAGAACCGCACACUGACUCCGAUUAACGAUGGAUCCGCUGCUGUAUUUAGCCGGUGUGGUGGUUUUGUUCCUGCUGUGGAUCAAAGUUAAAGGUCUAGACUAUGUGAUUGUUCACCAGCGGUGGAUCUUUGUGUGUUUGUUCCUGCUGCCGCUCUCUGUUAUAUUCGAUGUGUACUAUUAUGUGCGCGCGUGGCUCAUUUUCAAGAUGUGCUCUGCGCCCAAACUGCACGACCAGCGCGUGCGAGACAUCCAGCGACAGGUGCGCGAAUGGAAGAAGGACGGCAGUAAGACCUACAUGUGUACAGGUCGACCCGGCUGGCUCACCGUCUCUCUCCGAGUGGGGAAAUACAAGAAGACCCACAAGAACAUCAUGAUCAACAUGAUGGACAUCCUGGAGGUGGACACAGAGAGGCAGGUUGUGAGAGUUGAGCCGCUGGCCAACAUGGGUCAGCUGACCGCCCUCCUCACCUCUAUUGGCUGGACGCUGCCAGUGCUGCCGGAGCUCGAUGACCUCACUGUGGGUGGUCUGGUGAUGGGUACAGGCAUUGAGUCAUCCUCUCACAUUUACGGGCUGUUUCAGCACAUCUGCGUCGCAUUUGAGCUGGUUCUAGCUGACGGCAGCUUAGUGCGCUGCACUGAGGAGGAGAACUCGGACCUGUUCCACGCCGUCCCGUGGUCCUGUGGAACUCUGGGGUUCCUGGUUGCAGCUGAGAUUAAAAUAGUCCCCGCUAAACCCUGGGUGAAGCUGAGCUAUGAGCCGGUCAGAGGGCUGGAGAACAUCUGCAAACGCUUCACUGAAGCGUCGGAGAACAAACAGAACACGUUUGUGGAGGGCCUCCAGUACGGUCGGGACAGCGCCGUCAUCAUGACGGGAACGAUGACUGACCAUGCUGAGCCUGAUAAGAUUAACAGAAUCGGCCUGCACUUUAAACCCUGGUUCUUUAAACACGUGGAGGGCUUCCUGAAAGGCGACCACGCUGGAGUUGAGUACAUCCCUCUGAGGCAGUACUAUCAUAGACACACACGCAGCAUCUUCUGGGAGCUUCAGGAUAUUAUUCCCUUCGGCAACAACCUGAUUUUCCGCUGGCUUUUCGGAUGGAUGGUUCCUCCUAAGAUCUCCCUGCUGAAGCUCACCCAGGGGGAGACCAUCAGACGGCUUUAUGAACAGCACCACGUGGUCCAGGACAUGCUGGUCCCCAUGAAGAAUCUGCAGGCCGCCAUCACGCGCUUCCACGAGGACAUCGACGUUUACCCUCUGUGGCUGUGUCCUUUCCUGCUGCCAGCGGGCAGAGGGAUGGUUCACCCCAAAGGUCAAGAGGACGAGCUGUAUGUGGACAUUGGGGCUUACGGAGAGCCUAAAGUCAAACACUUUGAAGCUAAAGCAUCAACACGUCAGCUGGAGAAGUUUGUUAGAGAUGUGCACGGGUUUCAGAUGCUGUAUGCAGAUGUGUACAUGGACCGAGAGGAGUUCUGGGAGAUGUUUGAUGGACAGCUGUAUCACAAACUGAGAGAGGAACUGGGCUGUAAGGAGGCCUUCCCGGAGGUUUACGACAAAAUCUGUAAAUCUGCCCGACACUGACCUCCAUCGCUGGUACAUGACCUCAUAGCCCCGAGUCACAGAUACACCGAGGCAUCGUCUACAACUCACGUUUGCUGACUGCUUGGUAUGUUUCAACAAAAACAAAAAACUGUUUUACACAAAGAUACAUCUCAGAAUUUGAUAAAAAUUGCUU